UACGGAGGAUCCGAGCGUUAUCCGGAUUUAUUGGGUUUAAAGGGUGCGUAGGCGGUUUGAUAAGUUAGAGGUGAAAUGUCGGGGCUCAACCCCGAAACUGCCUCUAAUACUGUUGGACUAGAGAAUAGUUGCGGUAGGCGGAAUGUAUGGUGUAGCGGUGAAAUGCUUAGAGAUCAUACAGAACGCCGAUUGCGAAGGCAGCUUACCAAACUAUAUCUGACGUUGGGGCACGAAAGCGUGGGUAGCAAACAGG
rnacentral:rRNA from 1 species